GACGAACCGUACAAACGUUAUUCGGAAUCAUUGGGCUUAAAGGGUGCGUAGGCGGUGCGGAAAGUUGGGUGUGAAAUCCCUCGGCUCAACCGAGGAAUUGCGCCCAAAACUACCGUGCUUGAGGAAGACAGAGGUGAGUGGAACUUAGGGUGGAGCGGUGAAAUGCGUUGAUAUCCUAAGGAACACCAGUGGCGAAAGCGACUCACUGGGUCUUUUCUGACGCUGAGGCACGAAAGCUAGGGGAGCAAAC
rnacentral:rRNA from 1 species